GUGGGGAAUAUUGGACAAUGGGGGGAACCCUGAUCCAGCCAUGCCGCGUGUGUGAAGAAGGCCUUUUGGUUGUAAAGCACUUUAAGCGAGGAGGAGGCUACCGAGAUUAAUACUCUUGGAUAGUGGACGUUACUCGCAGAAUAAGCACCGGCUAACUCUGUGCCAGCAGCCGCGGUAAUACAGAGGGUGCAAGCGUUAAUCGGAUUUACUGGGCGUAAAGCGCGCGUAGGUGGCCAAUUAAGUCAAAUGUGAAAUCCCCGAGCUUAACUUGGGAAUUGCUUUCGAUACUGGUUGGCUAGAGUAUGGGAGAGGAUGGUAGAAUUCCAGGUGUAGCGGUGAAAUGCGUAGAGAUCUGGAGGAAUACCGAUGGCGAAGGCAGCCAUCUGGCCUAAUACUGACACUGAGGUGCGAAAGCAUGGGGAGCAAACAGGAUUAGAAACCCGAGUAGUCC
rnacentral:rRNA from 1 species